rnacentral:rRNA from 1 species
UACAGAGGGUGCGAGCGUUGUUCGGAAUUACUGGGCGUAAAGCGUGCGCAGGCGGUCUGCUAAGAGAGAUGUGAAAUCCCCGGGCUUAACCUGGGAACUGCGUUUCUAACUGGCAGGCUAGAGUGUGGCAGAGGGGGGUGGAAUUCCACGUGUAGCAGUGAAAUGCGUAGAGAUGUGGAGGAACACCGAUGGCGAAGGCAGCCCCCUGGGCUAACACUGACGCUCAUGCACGAAAGCGUGGGGAGCAAACAGG